rnacentral:lncRNA from 1 species
UUUUGUUUCCAUCCGUGUUGCCGUGAUAUAAGAUUGUCCUAAAAUCAACGGAUAAGACGUUGUAUCUUGAACAAAGAAAUGUUGCUCUGUCGCAACAUCCCCAAUCCAAAUUUUGACAUCUGGACAAGCUCUAUAUAAUUCGCCCCAUUUGUUAUUAGCUGCUCGAAUUGCCCAUCCAUGUUCCAUAUCAAUUGGCCAUUUUUGCUUCUUAUAAAGAUCUUUAGACA